rnacentral:rRNA from 1 species
UGAGUAACACGUAUCCAACCUGCCGUCUACUCUUGGCCAGCCUUCUGAAAGGAAGAUUAAUCCAGGAUGGCAUCAUGAGUUCACAUGUCCGCAUGAUUAAAGGUAUUUUCCGGUAGACGAUGGGGAUGCGUUCCAUUAGAUAGUAGGCGGGGUAACGGCCCACCUAGUCAACGAUGGAUAGAGGUUCUGAGAGGAAGGUCCCCCACAUUGGAACUGAGACACGGUCCAA